CCCUCUGUCCCUAUCUACUAUCUAGCGAAACCACUGCCAAGGGAACGGGCUUGGAAAAAUCAGCGGGGAAAGAAGACCCUGUUGAGCUUGACUCUAGUCUGGCACUGUAAGGAGACAUGAGAGGUGUAGCAUAAGUGGGAGACGGUAUCCAUCCCGUCGCCGGUGAAAUACCACUACUUUCAUCGUUUCUUUACUUACUUGGUUAGGCGGAGGGCGUUCGUCGAGGGUACACACCCCGGCGGUACGGUCUUCUCGCGCCAAGCGUUCAAGGGUUGCCGGCGGACAGAAGUGCGGGUCGACACCGGUGAGUCGUGUAACCUGGCUUGCCAGGCCACGGCCCGGGGACGGCUUUAGCACGCUCUGAACCCGACCGGCAAACACUCCCUAGCGUGAUCCGAUCCGAGGACACUGCCAGGCGGGGAGUUUGACUGGGGCGGUACAUCUGUCAAAGAAUAACGCAGGUGUCCUAAGGCCAGCUCAGCGAGGACAGAAACCUCGCGUAGAGCAAAAGGGCAAAUGCUGGCUUGAUCCCGAUGUUCAGUACGCAUAGGGACUGCGAAAGCACGGCCUAUCGAUCCUUUUGGCUUGAAGAGUUUUCAGCAAGAGGUGUCAGAAAAGUUACCACAGGGAUAA
rnacentral:rRNA from 1 species